UGAGCAGCAGGCCACAGCUCAAUAGCUCUUAACAUCUCUUUUGGGGGUCAAAAUGGUGUAAUAUUCCAUCUGACAAUAUGCUUGCUAUUUCCCUGCUAAUCUCACAGAGUGGCAGAGUAAGAGCCUUGCUGUCUCAAGGCCAGGAACUGGCGAUGGCUGCCAUGUGGGCCGAAUGGGCCCUUUAACUGAGGAAGUCACAGGGUUCUCUGUAAAGCCUUUCCAAAAAUUUGAAAAUACAUUUUCUUUUCAAAGGGAAGGAAAAAGGCUUUUGGAAGUAAGUGCUUUUUGAAGAUGUUUACAUCAGCGGUGAAUCGGGAGUGAGGAAUUGAAAUGAAUUGGCUUACAUGAUUAUGGAGGCUGACAAGUCUCAAGAUCUGCAGACCUAGGCGGGGCCAAUAGGUUAGUUCCAGUCCAAAGGCUGGCAGGCUCAAGACCCAGGAAGAUCUUAUGUUUCAUUUUGAGUUCAAAGGCUGGAAAAAAUCGAUGUCCCAGCUUGAAGGCCAUCAGGCAGGAGGAGUUCCUUCUUACUGAUAGGAAGAUCCUUGCUUGCCUCAGACCAAACUUCAACCACACAUGGGAAAACAGACAGUCUUUACUUUUCUCAUUUCGAUGAGAGAGCUGUAACUGGGCCACAGGUCUGAAGGCUGGGACUUCCUGCCUGAUUCUGCUCUUCUGGGAACACAACACUGAAUGAAGGAGGCAAAGACUCUGCUCACCUACUUUACAAUGAGGGAUACAGUCAAUAUAUAAUUUACAGAGACAAAGGGAUCUGAAAUCAACCAGAAUAAAAUGACCACGGAGUAGACGUGUUACAAAGAAAAAGAGAGGAAAAUCGGCAACAAUAGUGACAACAAGAACAAAAUAACAAGAAAACUCCCACAAAGACAGAAGGAAGACAAUGCAGCUAGUGAGCAAAUUAGGAAUUUGAAAGCAUCUUCUGAGAGCUUGAAUGAUGAAUGUACUGAGGUUCCUAAGGGUGAGGUGAGAAGACCCAUCCAGCAUCACAAGACCCAUUCAAGGUGAUGUGGCUAGUUUGUGCUGAAGGCAGAAGUUUCCAGAAUUCCUGACCCUCAUGCUAUGGAACAGUCCUUGUGAGAAUAUCAGAGAUGAAUGAACAAGCAGGUGGAAGUUCGGAGGAAGACACGAUUAUAGACAAAAUGAAGGCACUACAUUUUCUCUGAUAAAAAAGUCUCUCAACAUUUUUAUAUCCUGUUGGUUUUCUAGGAAACGUAGACAUGCUCUGUAGGAAAUAAUCUCAAAAUGGACGUGAUGGAUUAAAGAUGGGGAAACAUGCCCUGGAAUGCCUAAUGGCA
rnacentral:lncRNA from 1 species